GAGUUUGAUCUUGGCUCAGAAUCAACGCUGGCGGCGUGCCUAACACAUGCAAGUCGAACGAGAAAGUGGAGCAAUCCACGAGUACAGUGGCGCACGGGUGAGUAACACGUGACUAACCUACCCUUGAGUGGGGGAUAACCUAGAGAAAUCUGGGCUAAUACCGCAUAAUACCUUCGGGUCAAAGGAGCAAUUCGCUUAAGGAGGGGGUCGCGGCCGAUUAGUUAGUUGGCGGGGUAAUGGCCCACCAAGACUAUGAUCGGUAUCCGGCCUGAGAGGGCGCACGGACACACUGGAACUGAAACACGGUCCAGACUCCUACGGGAGGCAGCAGUGGGGAAUUUUGCGCAAGUGGGGGAAACCUGACGCAGCAACGCCGCGUGGAGGAUGAAGUCCCUUGGGACGUAAACUCCUUUCGAUCGGGACGAUAAUGACGGUACCGAGAGAAGAACGCCCCGGCUAACUUCGUGCCAGCA
rnacentral:rRNA from 1 species